rnacentral:rRNA from 1 species
CCUACGGGAGGCAGCAGUGAGGAAUAUUGGUCAAUGGGCGUAAGCCUGAACCAGCCAAGCCGCGUGAGGGAUGAAGGUUCUAUGGAUCGUAAACCUCUUUUAUAAGGGAAUAAAGUGUGGGACGUGUCCUGUUUUGUAUGUACCUUAUGAAUAAGGAUCGGCUAACUCCGUGCCAGCAGCCGCGGUAAUACGGAGGAUCCGAGCGUUAUCCGGAUUUAUUGGGUUUAAAGGGUGCGUAGGCGGCCUUUUAAGUCAGCGGUGAAAGUCUGUGGCUCAACCAUAGAAUUGCCGUGGAAACUGGGAGGCUUGAGUAUGGUAGAGGCGGGCGGAAUGCGUGGUGUAGCGGUGAAAUGCUUAGAUAUCACGCAGAACCCCGAUUGCGAAGGCAGCCUGCCAGGCCAUGACUGACGCUGAUGCACGAAAGCGUGGGGAUCAAACAGGAUUAGAUACCCCUGUAGUC